GAAGUCAAAAGGUCAUUCUGAUCUUUCCCAAUUGAUGGUAAGUCCAGUGUCUCUAGAAAAGCUCUCAUUUGGGGAAGAUCAGAAUG